UACGUAGGGUGCAAGCGUUAAUCGGAAUUACUGGGCGUAAAGCGUGCGCAGGCGGUUUUGUAAGUCAGAUGUGAAAUCCCCGGGCUUAACCUGGGAACUGCGUUUGAAACUACAAGGCUAGAGUGUGGCAGAGGGGGGUGGAAUUCCACGGUGUAGCAGUGAAAUGCGUAGAGAUGUGGAGGAACACCGAUGGCGAAGGCAGCCCCCCUGGGUUAACACUGACGCUCAGGCACGAAAGCGUGGGGAGCAAACAGG
rnacentral:rRNA from 1 species